rnacentral:rRNA from 1 species
CAAUAGCGUAUAUUAAAGUUGUUGCGGUUAAAAGCUCGUAGUUGGAUUUCUGCUUGGGAAGACCGGUCCGCCCUCUGGGUGAGUAUCUGGCGCUGCCCGGGCAUCCUCUUGGGGAACGCAGUGCACUUGAUUGUGUGGUGCGGUACCCAGGACUUUUACUUUGAGGAAAUUAGAGUGUUUCAAGCAGGCUUCAGCCUUGAAUACAUUAGCAUGGAAUAAUAAGAUAGGCCUGUGGCGCUACCUUGUUGGUUUGUAGAGUCGCAGGAAUGAUUAAUAGGGAUAGUCGGGGGCAUUCGUACUUAACUGUCAGAGGUGAAAUUCUUGGAUUUGUUAAAGACGAACUACUGCGAAAGCAUUUGCCAAGGAUGUUUUCAUUGAUCAAGAACGAAAGUUAGGGGAUCGAAGAUGAUCAGAUACCGU